rnacentral:lncRNA from 1 species
AAUAGUCCAGUCAGUCAGAGCUGGUGAAGUAGACCUGCUGUAGAAGGUGUGAAGGCCCAGUCCUCCCUCCACGUUUCUCCACCCUUGAAAGGUAGUGUGCAUGUCUGUUCACCCAUGAAAGAAGAGGAAGACACCAAAUGGAUAGCAUCGAUUUCAUUUUAAGGGCUGGAGAUCAAGACCUACCCAUUGUGAUGAAUAAAUCCGGGCUCUCAGCAAUGCAGGGAGAAAAAGUUUUGCGGCAACCAGUCUCUUAGCACAGGCACCAGCCUUGGAGUUCAUGUCCUCAUCAAAGGAUGGAAAGAAGCAAAGCUCAAAUCAGCUUGGGAAGGACCUUACCUACUGCUCCUGACCACUAUAACCAUCAUCCAGACAGCAGAGAAAGGAUGGACUCCUCAUCAUACCCGAGUCAAAAUGUUGCCACCUCCACAGUCAUGGGCCAUUGUUCCAGGGGAAAGCCCUACCAAAUUAAAGCUAAGAAAAACCU